UGGCGGACGGGUGAGUAACGCGUGAGUAACCUGCCGUAUACCGGGGGAUAACAGUUAGAAAUGACUGCUAAUACCGCAUAAGCGCACAGUGCUGCAUGGCACAGUGUGAAAAACUCCGGUGGUAUAUGAUGGACUCGCGUCUGAUUAGUUAGUUGGUGAGGUAACGGCCCACCAAGACAGCGAUCAGUAGCCGACUUGAGAGAGUGAUCGGCCACAUUGGGACUGAGACACGGCCCAAACUCCUACGGGAGGCAGCAGUGGGGAAUAUUGCACAAUGGGGGAAACCCUGAUGCAGCGACGCCGCGUGAGUGAAGAAGUAUUUCGGUAUGUAAAGCUCUAUCAGCAAGGAAGAUAAUGACGGUACUUGACUAAGAAGCCCCGGCUAACUACGUGCCAGCAGCCGCGGUAAUACGUAGGGGGCAAGCGUUAUCCGGAUUUACUGGGUGUA
rnacentral:rRNA from 1 species